rnacentral:rRNA from 1 species
CCUACGGGAGGCAGCAGUGGGGAAUUUUGGACAAUGGGGGCAACCCUGAUCCAGCCAUGCCGCGUGAGUGAAGAAGGCCUUCGGGUUGUAAAGCUCUUUCGGCCGGAACGAAAUCGCGCACGUGAAUAACGUGCGUGGAUGACGGUACCGGAGUAAGAAGCACCGGCUAACUACGUGCCAGCAGCCGCGGUAAUACGUAGGGUGCGAGCGUUAAUCGGAAUUACUGGGCGUAAAGCGUGCGCAGGCGGUUCGCUAAGUCAGACGUGAAAGCCCCGGGCUUAACCUGGGAACGGCGUUUGAAACUGGCGGGCUCGAGUACGGCAGAGGGGGGUGGAAUUCCACGUGUAGCAGUGAAAUGCGUAGAUAUGUGGAGGAACACCGAUGGCGAAGGCAGCCCCCUGGGCCGAUACUGACGCUCAUGCACGAAAGCGUGGGGAGCAAACAGGAUUAGAUACCCUGGUAGUCCACGCCCUAAACUAUGUCAACUAGUUGUCGGGGAAGCAAUUCCUUGGUAACGCAGCUAACGCGUGAAGUUGACCGCCUGGGGAGUACGGUCGCAAGAUUAAAAACCUCAAAGGAAUUGACGG